rnacentral:rRNA from 1 species
AAUCAACGCUGGCGGCGUGCCUAACACAUGCAAGUCGAACGAGAAAGUGGAGCAAUCCAUGAGUACAGUGGCGCACGGGUGAGUAACACGUGACUAACCUGCCUUCGAGUGGGGAAUAACCUCGGGAAACCGGGGCUAAUACCGCAUAACCUCAUCGGGUGAAAUUCCUGCUGAUCAAAAGGUUUUUGCUUGAAGAGGGGGUCGCGGCUGAUUAGCUAGUUGGUGGGGUAACGGCCCACCAAGGCAGUGAUCAGUAGCCGGCCUGAGAGGGCGCACGGCAACACUGGAACUGAAACGGGGUCGAGACUCCUACGGGAGGCAGCAGUUGGGAAUAUUGCGCAAUGGGGGAAACCCUGACGCAGCAACGCCGAGUGGAGGAUGAAGUCACUUGGGACGUAAACUCCUUUCGAUCGGGAAGAAUAAUGACGGUACCGGAAGAAGAAGCCCCGGCUAACUUCGUGCCAGCAGCCGCAGUAA